ACUAGCACCGGACUUGUGCUCGCAUCAUGCAUGGCAGGUACCAGGUGCUGUCAAGCAGCCAGGGAACCACCAGUAAUUGCGGACAUCAGCUAUCGCGCUGAUGUCCACUAUUAACCCCUCAGAUGCUGUGAUCAAUACAGAUCACAGCAUUUGCAGCAAUGCGGGCGUUUAAAUGGAUGAUCAGAUCACCCAUGGCGUUGCCAAAAUCACUCACACCAUCUCAUGUGAUACAAGCGGUGUUAUUUAUUAUGCUACCUGCCCUUGUGGUCUGAUUUAUGUAGGAAUGACAACGCGUGAAUUAAGAAGAAGAACAACAGAACAUGUACUAGAAAUCCUGGCUGCUAAAGACACAGAUGAUCCAUCCCAACCCAUCACAAUUCCCAAACACUUCCGUCUACACCAUGACUGAAAUCCUGAAGGUUUUAAGGCACAGAAUCCAUUCAUCAAUCAUGCAGCAAUGUCCAGUCAUCUCGUCUUUCCCCCUUUGUAGUUUGGACACCUUUCAG